GGGAGUGGGGAGAGGUGAGGGAGAGAGAAAGAUAGAGGAGAGGAGAGGGGAGAGAGAGGGAUGAAUUUUAAAGGAAUUGCAGUUUUCACUUUCGAAGCAGAUUUGCAAGUUUGACCCCAGCAUCUGAAGAUGGGGCUCGACCCGAAACGUUGCCUAUUUCCUUCGCUCCAUAGAUGCUGCCUCACCCGCUGAGUUUCUCCAGCAUUUGUGUCUACCACCUAUUAAAUUUAAUCGUUAGUUAACUUCAGAGUGGUGGCAUUCUUGCGUGCGCGCGUGGAGGGCGUGCGUAUGUGUGGGCACACAAUA